rnacentral:rRNA from 1 species
AUUGAACGCUGGCGGCAGGCCUAACACAUGCAAGUCGAGCGGAUGAAGGGAGCUUGCUCCUGGAUUCAGCGGCGGACGGGUGAGUAAUGCCUAGGAAUCUGCCCGGCAGUGGGGGAUAACGUCCGGAAACGGGUGCUAAUACAGCAUACGCCCUGUGGGAGAAAGUGGGGGAUCUUCGGAUCUCACGCUAUCAGAUGAGCCUAGGUCGGAUUUGCGAGUUGGUGGGGUAAAGGCCUACCAAGGCGACGAUCCGUAACUGGUCUGAGAGGCUGAUCAGUCACACUGGAACUGAUACACGUUCCAGACUCCUACGGGAGUCAGCCGUGGGGAAUUUUCGACAAUGGGCGAAAGCCUGAGCCAGCCAUGCCGCGUGUGUGAAGAAGGUCUUCGGAUUGUAAAGCACUUUAAGUUGGGAGGAAGGAUAGUAAGUUGAUAUCUUGCUGUUUUGACGUUACCCACAGAAUAAGCACCGGCUAACUUCGUG